GACGAACCGUCCUAACGUUGUUCGGAAUCACUGGGCUUAAAGGGCGCGUAGGCGGGUUCCCAAGUCGGUGGUGAAAUCUUUCGGCCCAACCGGAAAACAGCCGCCGAUACUGGGAGUCUUGAGGGAGGUAGGGGUCGAUGGAACUUCCGGUGGAGCGGUGAAAUGCGUAGAUAUCUGGAGGAACACCGGUGGCGAAGGCGGCGUCCUGGACCAACACUGACACUGAGGAGCGAAAGCCAGGGGAGCAAACGGG
rnacentral:rRNA from 1 species